GUGCCGACUUAAACGCCCCGAAUCAACAAUGAAUUCGAAAGACGUUCGCGUGUACGGUUCGCAUCAAACCAGUAUCAAGAAAGACGAGAAGUCAACCUUAAUCGAGGAAAAGAGAAGAUUGGGGAUUAAAUUGCAAAAUCUCUACAUUUUGUAUCGAGUGACAUCAAUCAGCUCGGAAAUUGGACGAAGUCAGAACAUCAUCCACAUUAUCAUCAUCAUCUUUUGGGUAUUUUGCAACCAAUACUUUUGAAAUAUGACAUGUAUAGAUGACUUAAUGUAAUGUGGUAUAUAU